rnacentral:lncRNA from 1 species
UAUACAUAUACAUUUUACAUAUUUCCUAUCUUUUAAAAGUACACUAUUAUCUAAACACAAUCCAGUGUAUGAAUCAAUUGCUCGAUGAAUAAAUCUUUGUGGAUUAUUUGUACCUCACACAAUGCACGCAUCAUAAAAAUUCACAGUGCACGCGCCUUACAAUCGCAACACGCUCCCUCCAAGCGUCGUAAGAACAUUAAGCCAUCCAAUUGGCCGCAUCUGUUGACUAGUUACCGGCUGACCUCGGCUCUUAUCAAAUGCGUUGACGCGAUAGGAGUCAAGAGAGUCGUUUGUUGUACGUCCACGUUGGAACAGAAGGAACAAGACAGAGAACAAUGAUGGGAGGGGAAACCUGAUACUGAUUGCCCGGUCAGUGUCUCAGGCCGGACCCUUCGUAGGUUCUCCUUUCUAUGGUCAUUUGGGGCGAUGGCGAACGACUACGUCAAUUAGACAAUUAGCGAGAGAAAGUCCCUUUUGAAUCUCUGCGACUCGGCUGACCCAAUAGCGGACGGAAUUGUACACGAGGCGCGUGUGGGCCCCGAGGUCGAAUAAAUUAGAUUCGUCUUCUCUUCUCGUGGCGAUGCGCGUCGCGGCAGAUAAGCGUCUCCGUGGGAUUUGUGUGUCGCGGUUCCGUCGUGUAGGAUUCAACGUGCGUCUCGGCAAGACUCGUUAGACGGGAUGAGCUCUGCACUAUUCGUCCGUCGGUGACCACCGUCAUAAAGUGGCAGUUUUGUUCUUGUUACCGUGUACCGUUCCAUCGGCCGCUAUAAUUUUGGAGGAUUGCUUCGCGUCGAAUCGACAAAAAAUUUCUAGCGGCUGUUUCAUAGAGAACUGGCUUACAUUUCCCCGUGAUCUCACGGGAUAGAAAUCAGAAGCUAGGCACGAUCACUGCGAAACGAAAUUUACAGUGACAAGUCAAUAAAUGUUCGGUGAACGUAUACAUUUCCGAGAAAUUUUACGAUAAAUAUAAUCGUUAGGAAAAACGUAUGAUGGAUUACAACAUAACGCAAGAACAACAUCAGUCGUCCUUAUCAUUUUCAUAAAAAUCUCUAUUAAAUUUGAUAAUAUCUAGAUUUCAUUUAAAUAUUAUACAUGAGAUGUAUAAUAUUUUACCCUUGUUGUUAAUCAGAUUAUUCAUGUAAUGUUCAUCAUAAGCAAAUAUCGAGAAGAGACUGAGGGCAGAGUGGUUAAUCGAGGAAAUUCAGUUAAACCAUAAUUAGCCGUAGUGAUCGUCGUUAUAACAGCCACGAAAGUUUGCCGGACCGGCAGCCUAAUGAACUCGUUACAUAUUUACACGUUGUUCGUGCCUACCGAGCGGCCUGGCGAGCGCAGAAAACCACAUCGAAUUAAGAGGUCCUCUCGCAAAUUGCAGACGAGACACGAGAGAGCGAUUUAAGCUCAUCGAUCCACGACCGACCUCUGAAUCCGCUUCGCACUCGCUCGUGCUAAUAGUACCGUUUCGAUCAGUAAAUUAUGUAAUCGAUGUCAAAAUAUACUGUUUUAUAUUCUCACGUUUAAUUUCUCUGCAUUUAGCACACACUGAUAUUAUAAGUAGUUAAAAUAAUUAUAUAUAAAUAAUUAUAUACUUUAAAACAAUGACUAUAUGUUACG